UGACAGUAGGCUAACAACGCAUUAUGUAAUAACUUGACAGGUCUAAUACAUUGUCACGUCAUUAGGCUAAAGCUGGAAGCCAAUAACUGCUAGCAUUUUGUAAUAAUGUGCCAAAUUUGGUAAUAAACUGCUUGUUUAUUGCAAAACACAAUUUAAGCAAGGUCGUAGGCACAUAAAAAUAGACCAGACUUUGUCCUUAGUCAAAUAGUGUCGUCACUCGUCACUGGCAGUGCUAAAAGUGUAAUUCCAGCCAAAAUUGACCCGGGUGUUUUUCUGCAUUAAAACACAACAUCAAAUGUGGAGUGGAGACAUUUUGCCUCCGUGAGACUCAUGUUCGAAACCCAACAAAACCUUCG